rnacentral:rRNA from 1 species
CCGAAACCAGGUGAUCUACCCUUGGUCAGGUUGAAGUUCAGGUAACACUGAAUGGAGGACCGAACCGACUUACGUUGAAAAGUGAGCGGAUGAACUGAGGGUAGCGGAGAAAUUCCAAUCGAACCUGGAGAUAGCUGGUUCUCUCCGAAAUAGCUUUAGGGCUAGCCUCAAGUGAUGAUUAUUGGAGGUAGAGCACUGUUUGGACGAGGGGCCCCUCUCGGGUUACCGAAUUCAGACAAACUCCGAAUGCCAAUUAAUUUAACUUGGGAGUCAGAACAUGGGUGAUAAGGUCCGUGUUCGAAAGGGAAACAGCCCAGACCACCAGCUAAGGUCCCAAAAUAUAUGUUAAGUGGAAAAGGAUGUGGCGUUGCCCAGACAACUAGGAUGUUGGCUUAGAAGCAGCCAUCAUUUAAAGAGUGCGUAAUAGCUCACUAGUCGAGUGACACUGCGCCGAAAAUGUACCGGGGCUAAACAUAUUACCGAAGCUGUGGAUUGUCCUUUGGACAAUGGUAGGAGAGCGUUCUAAGGGCGUUGAAGCAUGAUCGUAAGGACAUGUGGAGCGCUUAGAAGUGAGAAUGCCGGUGUGAGUAGCGAAAGACGGGUGAGAAUCCCGUCCACCGAUUGACUAAGGUUUCCAG